rnacentral:rRNA from 1 species
UACGGGGGGGGGCAAGCGUUGUUCGGAAUUACUGGGCGUAAAGGGCUCGUAGGCGGCCAACUAAGUCAGACGUGAAAUCCCUCGGCUUAACCGGGGAACUGCGUCUGAUACUGGAUGGCUUGAAUCCGGGAGAGGGAUGCAGAAUUCCAGGUGUAGCGGUGAAAUGCGUAGAUAUCUGGAGGAAUACCGGUGGCGAAGGCGGCAUCCUGGACCGGCAUUGACGCUGAUGAGCGAAAGCUAGGGGGAGCAAACGGG